UUUUAAACGUUUGAAAAGCUCAAUUUGUACCUUUUUUCAAUUUUGAUAUUUAAAGUGAAUUUACAAUUACUUUAGGCCAAAAACUAGUGAAUAUUAUCGUCGUAUGUUUUCCAAAGGAGUUGAGUUACAUUGUUUUUGGUUCUCAUUUACAAACAAUAUUUCUUCAUUAAAAAAUAAUGCCAAUUCAGUCAACUAUUUCAAAACGAUCCAGGAUUUAAUAAAACCUUAAAAACAUUUUAUAAAGGCUUGAACAAUCACUUUUUCUAUUUCAAACUUUUAAAAUAGAUAUUUUCAACUUUCAAAAUCGAUAUUUUCACUGAUUUUAGUCCUUAAAACAUUUGUGUCCAUUUUUUAGUUUCGACUAAUUUGAAAAGAAUUUACAAUCACUUAGGCCAAAAAUCACUUGUAAAUUAUUAGAAAUUUUCUUUCUAAGUUUUAAUUAAAAAAUUGGAUACUUGAAUUACAAUAUUUUUAAAUAGCAUCGGACUAUUUUUGAGUCCUAUUAUAAAAAAUGUAACCUCAGUUUCACUCUAUUCAAAAAAUCAUUAGAUUCUGUUUCUCUUAUAAAUUUGCAUUCCCCCAAUAACUUUCAAUUAUAUUUCAUCUCUUGUUCCUUAAUCCUUCAGUAACUUUCGUUGUCUGACAAGCAUAAAAAAAAAGGUGUAUCUGUCUGAAAAUUGCAAAGAAUUUUGGUG
rnacentral:lncRNA from 1 species